rnacentral:rRNA from 1 species
UACGAAGGGGGCUAGCGUUGUUCGGAAUUACUGGGCGUAAAGCGCGCGCAGGCGGUUCGAUAAGUUGGGGGUGAAAUCCCCGGGCUCAACCCGGGAAUGGCCUUCAAGACUGUCGAGCUAGAGGACGAGAGAGGUGAGUGGAAUUCCCAGUGUAGAGGUGAAACUCGUAGAUAUUGGGAAGAACACCGGUGGCGAAGGCGGCUCGCUGGCUCGUUUCUGACGCUGAGGCGCGAAAGCGUGGGGAGCAAACAGG